rnacentral:rRNA from 2 species
UGGGGAAUAUUGCACAAUGGGCGAAAGCCUGAUGCAGCAACGCCGCGUGAGCGAUGAAGGCCUUCGGGUCGUAAAACUCUGUCCUAAGGGAAGAUAAUGACGGUACCUUAGGAGGAAGCCCCGGCUAACUACGUGCCAGCAGCCGCGGUAAUACGUAGGGGGCAAGCGUUAUCCGGAAUUACUGGGCGUAAAGGGUGCGUAGGUGGCCUGACAAGUCAGGGGUCAAAGGCAACGGCUCAACCGUAGUAAGCCUUUGAAACUGGGAAACUUGAGUGCAGGAGAGGAGAGUGGAAUUCCUAGUGUAGCGGUGAAAUGCGUAGAUAUUAGGAGGAACACCAGUUGCGAAGGCGGCUCUCUGGACUGUAACUGACACUGAGGCACGAAAGCGUGGGGAGCAAACAGG